GACAGAGGGUGCGAACGUUGUUCGGAAUUACUGGGCGUAAAGCGCGUGUAGGCGGCAGCGCAAGUCGGGCGUGAAAUCCCACGGCUCAACCGUGGAAGUGCACUCGAAACUGCGCAGCUAGAGUCCUGGAGAGGAAGGUGGAAUGCUUGGUGUAGAGGUGAAAUUCGUAGAUAUCAAGCGGAACACCGGUGGCGAAGGCGGCCUUACUGGACAGUGACUGACGCUGAGACGCGAAAGCGUGGGGAGCAAACAGGGAUUAA
rnacentral:rRNA from 1 species